rnacentral:rRNA from 1 species
CUAACUACGUUCCAGCAGCCGCGGUAAUACGUAGUGUGCGAGCGUUGUCCGGAAUUACUGGGCGUAAAGAUCUCGUAGGUGGUUUGUCGCGUCGUCUGUGAAAUUCCGGGGCUUAACUUCGGGCGUGCAGGCGAUACGGGCAAUACUUGAGUGCUGUAGGGGAGACUGGAAUUCCUGGUGUAGCGGUGGAAUGCGCAGAUAUCAGGAGGAACACCGAUGGCGAAGGCAGGUCUCUGGGCAGUAACUGACGCUGAGGAGCGAAAGCAUGGGUAGCGAACAGGAUUAGAUACCCUAGUAGUC